CGAACGUACACAACCUUCCUACAAGUGGGGAAUAGCCCAGAGAAAUUUGGAUUAAUACCCCGUAACAUAUAAAGAUGGCAUCAUUUUUAUAUUAUAGCUACGGCGCUUGUUGAUGGGUGUGCGGCUGAUUAGGUAGUUGGCGGGGUAAUGGCCCACCAAGCCUGCGAUCAGUAGCUGAUGUGAGAGCAUGAUCAGCCACACGGGCACUGAGACACGGGCCCG
rnacentral:rRNA from 1 species